UACGUAGGGGGCAAGCGUUGUUCGGAAUUACUGGGCGUAAAGGGCUCAUAGGCGGCCAACUAAGUCAGACGUGAAAUCCCUCGGCUUAACCGGGGAACUGCGUCUGAUACUGGAUGGCUUGAGUUUGGGAGAGGGAUGCGGAAUUCCAGGUGUAGCGGUGAAAUGCGUAGAUAUCUGGAGGAACACCGGUGGCGAAGGCGGCAUCCUGGACCAACACUGACGCUGAGUGAGCGAAAGCCAGGGGAGCAAACGGG
rnacentral:rRNA from 1 species